AACGCGAAGAACCUUACCUACUCUUGACAUCCUGCGAACUUGGUAGAGAUACCUUGGUGCCUUCGGGAACGCAGAGACAGGUGCUGCAUGGCUGUCGUCAGCUCGUGUUGUGAAAUGUUGGGUUAAGUCCCGUAACGAGCGCAACCCUUGUCCUUAGUUGCCAUCAUUUAGUUGGGGACUCUAAGGAGACUGCCGGUGACAAACCGGAGGAAGGCGGGGACGACGUCAAGUCAUCAUGGCCCUUACGAGUAGGGCUACACACGUGCUACAAUGGCAAGUACAGAGGGCCGCGAAGCCGCGAGGUGGAGCUAAUCUCACAAAGCUUGUCGUAGUCCGGAUUGGAGUCUGCAACUCGACUCCAUGAAGUCGGAAUCGCUAGUAAUCGCAAAUCAGAAUGUUGCGGUGAAUACGUUCCCCGGGUCUUGUACACACCGA
rnacentral:rRNA from 1 species